AGCCACACUGGGACUGAGACACGGCCCAGACUCCUACGGGAGGCAGCAGUGGGGAAUUUUGGACAAUGGGGGAAACCCUGAUCCAGCCAUCCCGCGUGUGCGAUGAAGGCCUUCGGGUUGUAAAGCACUUUUGGCAGGAAAGAAACGUCAUGGGUUAAUACCCUGUGAAACUGACGGUACCUGCAGAAUAAGCACCGGCUAACUACGUGCCAGCAGCCGCGGUAAUACGUAGGGUGCAAGCGUUAAUCGGAAUUACUGGGCGUAAAGCGUGCGCAGGCGGUUCGGAAAGAAAGAUGUGAAAUCCCAGAGCUUAACUUUGGAACUGCAUUUUUAACUACCGGGCUAGAGUGUGUC
rnacentral:rRNA from 1 species